GGAUGUCGCUCAGUGAUAGAGCACAUGCUUAGCAUGCACGAGGUCCUGGGUUCAAUCCCCAGAACCUCCA
rnacentral:tRNA from 1 species